AGCUAAAUAUUUUAGAAAAACUUAUAUUUUGAAAAUAUAAAUUCAGGAGUUAAAAUCUCCUAUUAGCUU
rnacentral:tRNA from 1 species